rnacentral:lncRNA from 1 species
GAUCAACUCUCCCAACUCGCGCAGGCUCAGCAGUAGGAAUGCCCUUGCCAUAUGCCCUCCUUCAUUUCCUUCAGCAUUCUAACAGUCAAUGACCCUCUUCCUCAUCUUCCCUUUCAAUUCCAUUACACUUUACUCUAGAUAUUCCAGCUUUUCGCUAGAUUUAACAGCUCUUUGUUCCACUUGUUAAUCGUUUCCAUGUCAACCUUAUGUUGCGGCGUAUGCUUAGCUUCAUACUCUUGAUCUCUUUUUCGCAGCUUGUUGUACUUCUCCUCUGCUUCUAAACUUAUCUAUGACUCUAUUUCCUGGACGAACCCUUGGCUCAAAGACUCCUGAUAUAUUAUCAUCCAACCAUGAGGGGUAAAAAUAUGAAUGGCCCGCAUGGUAUCG